GAUGAACGCUGGCGGCGUGCUUAACACAUGCAAGUCGAACGGUGAACGAGGGAGCUUGCUCCCUCCGGAUCAGUGGCGAACGGGUGAGUAACACGUGAGCAAUCUGCCCUGGACUCUGGGAUAAGCGUUGGAAACGACGUCUAAUACCGGAUACGAGACGCGAAGGCAUCCUCAGCGUCUGGAAAGAACUUCGGUCCAGGAUGAGCUCGCGGCCUAUCAGGUAGUUGGUGAGGUAACGGCUCACCAAGCCUACGACCGCUAGCCGGCCGGAGAGCGUGACCGGCCACACGGGGACUGAGAAACGGCCCAGACUCCUACGGGAGGCAGCGGUGGGGAAUAUUGCACAAUGGGCGCAAGCCUGAUGCAGCAACGCCGCGUGAGGGACGACGGCCUUCGGGUUGUAAACCUCUUUUAGCAGGGAAGAAGCGAAAGUGACGGUACCUGCAGAAAAAGCACCGGCUAACUACGUGCCAGCAGCCGCCGUAAUAC
rnacentral:rRNA from 1 species